rnacentral:rRNA from 1 species
CGAACGGGUGAGUAACGCGUGAGGAACCUGCCUCAAAGAGGGGGACAACAGUUGGAAACGGCUGCUAAUACCGCAUAAGCCCACGGCUCGGCAUCGAGCAGAGGGAAAAGGAGCAAUCCGCUUUGAGAUGGCCUCGCGUCCGAUUAGCUAGUUGGUGAGGUAAUGGCCCACCAAGGCAACGACCGGUAGCCGGACUGAGAGGUUGAACGGCCACAUUGGGACUGAGACACGGCCCAG